GACCUGAUAGCACAAUGGUUAGUGCGUCUGCUCUACUUCAGGCAUGUUCAGAUUACCUAAGCAGAAGAUCCCCUGUUCGAUUCGGGGUCGGGUCA